UGUACUUGCACAUUGAAUCUAUGCAUGUUUAUUGUAAGAUGCGCUGAUUUCCUUGGGUGACAUCAAACAAUCCCAGUCUGUUCAUGCAAUGGACUUCCACUUAUGGAAAUGGGGCUGGAGUAGGAGGAGAGGAAGGGAUGUUGCAGUGCGUUCUCUGGUACGAUGCUGGACACUGCCCUUGAGGAUUUACUUCAGAAGCAAGAAUGCACAGGAUUACAGCCUUAAGAUGAGACAAGCAAUAUACCACUACUAUGAAUUAGCUCAAUCUGGUACCAUAAAAAGAGAAGUGUCAGGGGGAUGACAUAUUGCUUGAAAUUACUUGACCAAGAGCUGUGAGAGAAACACCCCAUCAUACUAUACCUUUGGGAAAUGAUGGCAGCAAACUACAUUCCCAGGAGAAGUGCGUUCCAGCACUUCUCCUGGGAAUGAAAUCAAAGAUCCCCAAGAGAUGUUUGAACAUGGAAAUGAGUUACAAAGCGUUACUCUGGUUUGUUUUCAGAGGUACAGUUAAAUACACUUACUAAAGCCUCCACUUAUGAUGGCUAGUCUUUUCCAUCACAGAUGGAGCAAUUAUACUCGGUAAGUAAAGUUCAAAGACCUCUCCAAGGAGAAACAUGCUUCUUUGGGGAAGGAAAGUCCCAAGGGACUGAGAGUGAAUCAUUUAGUCAAAUGAGGCACAAUAAUUCCCAGGUGAUCACCUGUGCAGCUGUGACUCAUUUGGCUGCACCUGCUGAUGCCAAAUGGAUUUUCUCCUUUCAAAAAGGCUAUUUCUACCGUUUCCUCUAGAUGACAGGGCUGAUCCUUCAGAAAGUUUAUGGAGGUAAAUAUUGAAGUUCUCAGGAUAGGAAGAUCUUUUUACCUUCGGCCACUCCUUUUUCAGAGUUCCACAACAUGCAGAUUAUUAUUAUUUCUUUAGAAAAGGAUAAUAGUUAAUAAAUUAUAUUUCUUUGGUAUCUGUUCUCCUGGAUGUUGCCACCUUUUUACUGGCCCUGCUCCUGUGCUUUAUCAGUAGUCUC